rnacentral:lncRNA from 1 species
CCCUCUCCCUUCUGUCUGUCUAUGAUCUGUGACCGCUAUUAUCUUGGGCUCUGAACUUGAGAUAUGCCCAUGGGUAACUCGUGUAUCACAAAACAGAAACACUUCUCAGGGGUCUGCAAGCAAACCAGAACAGCUCAUCCAUGCCCUUUGUUUUGUUUCAUUGAAAAUUAGCCUCUCUGUGGUGACCCUAUGUUGCAGUAAAUCUCCAACCCAAAUAUGUCCCUGCAAUGAAAACACAACUCAAUUAAUAUGAAUACAUGCUGUGUACCUAGAAUGGGCAGAUCUACCACUACACUACCAUCUUCCACAUCUAUGAGACCCCUUAGAACUUGCAGUUUCUCCAGGCCAUGUGCUGCUCUGCCUUUCUUCUUCCUCCUUCUCCUCUGCAUCCUCUCCCUAUUCCAUUUUCUCCUUCUUCCCUCUGUCACCUUCUGCUCCACCUUCCCUUUUAUCUGCCCAGUCAUCAGCUCUUCUUUAUUUUACAAAUUAAGGUGAGAAGCAGGUUUAUAGGAAAUCACCUGAGUGCUGACUCAUUCCUUGUUUGCAACCACUCACAGGAGAAAGGAAUUAAUAUCAAAUAUAAUCAUCCCCAGGGCUAUCCACAACAACCCUGUGGUAUCACUGUAUACCAGGCUAGCCUUGAACUCAGAAAUCCACCUGCCUCUGCCUCCCAAGUCCUGGGAUUAAACGCAUGCACCACCACUGCCCAGCUCUGUGAUGUAAUUCUUCAGUGACAAUGGUCCUGAGCAGGAAGGCCUAUGGAGUCAGAGAUAAAGAAGAUAGAACAGGGGAGAAAUGGGACAGAGUCAGAAGAAAGUUAUUCACUAGGAUGAAGUCCACCAGAAGCUAAUCAAACAGUGAUGCACAAAGGAAAUAUGGAGAAUCUAAAGAGCGUGACCAAAUAUACACUGGCUUUGGUGCUGGUAAGCCUGGUAUUUUAUGUGAAAAGGAUAAGCUCCCAAGAACCAAAACCACAAGUCCUUUGAUGUCUUGGCCCCAGCUCCAGACAGGCCUGUAGCCCAACUUUUUGACUAUUUUUAGAAUUCUCUUUCCUACUUCCCUACACUACUCCUACCCCUUCCAAUCUAGUAAACAUGAUGUUAUUGUGUGUUGCUGUAAAUCUCCAACCCAAAUGUGCCCCUGCAGUAAAAACACAACUCAGUUAAUAUGAUUACAUGCUGUGUGCCUAGAUUGGGCAGAUCUACCGCUAUAAUAUUACCAUCUUCUACAUCUAUGAGACCCCUCAGAACUUGGGGUUUCUCCAGGCCAUGUGCUUCUGCUCUGCUUUUCUUCUUCUUCCUCCUCCUCUGUGUCCUCUACCUCUUCCAUUUUCUCCUUCUUCUCUCCCCCACUUCUGCUCCACCUUCUCUUUAUCUGCCCAAUCAUCAGCUCUCCUUUAUUUUAUAAAUUAAGGUGGGAAGCAGGUUUAUAGGAAAUCACCUGAGUGCUGACUCAUUCCUUGUUCUCAACUACUCAUAGGAGAAUGGAAUUAACAUCAAAUAUAAUUAGCCCCAGGGAUAUCCAUAACAAUUGUGCGCUGUUUGAGGAUUUAAAUGCUGAUUUCUGUCUCCCCCAUAUCUGGGUACAGUCCUUAUUCAGAGAAUCUCCUGUCUCAAUCUUUUGUAAACACCAGCUCCCCAAUUGUUCCCUGAUGUGUCAAGAAAGAGAGCUUAAACAGCCAGUGAUUGAGGGGAGAGAGAAUAGAGUGGAACUUCUUGCCAGCCAAGGGAAAGAGCAGGAGAGAAAGGAAGUAGGGGAUUAGACACAGAGAGAAUUCAUGAGAGAGCAUUAGAAAAAUAUCUGUAGCAGAGA